rnacentral:rRNA from 1 species
AUAAAAGGGGCGACGCCUGCCCAGUGAAUAUUAAACGGCCGCGGUACCCUAACCGUGCAAAGGUAGCAUAAUCAUUUGUCUAUUAAUUGUAGACCUGUAUGAAAGGCAAAAUGAGAGCCCAACUGUCUCUUAUAACAAAUCAAUAAAACUGAUCUUCUAGUACAAAAGCUAAAAUACUGACAUAAGACCAGAAGACCCUGUGAAGCUUUAACAAACCCAUUAAAUCUAAUAAUGAUUACUUUCGGUUGGGGCGACCUUGGAAUAAAAAAGAACUUCCAAUAUAUGACUACUCAUAAAAGAGGCAAACAAGCCUACAUUAGAUCCAGCAUAGCUGAUAAUUGAAAUAAGUUACUCCAGGGAUAACAGCGCUAUCUUCUUUAAGAGCCCAUAUCAAAAAGAAGGUUUACGACCUCGAUGUUGGAUCAGGACAUCCCAGUAAUGCAUCCGUUACUAAAGGUUCGUUUGUUCAACGAUUAACAGUCCUACGUGAUCUGAU